rnacentral:rRNA from 1 species
CCUACGGGAGGCAGCAGUGGGGAAUUUUGGACAAUGGGCGCAAGCCUGAUCCAGCAAUGCCGCGUGCAGGAUGAAGGCCUUCGGGUUGUAAACUGCUUUUGUACGGAGCGAAACGGUCUGCUUUAAUACAGUAGGCUAAUGACGGUACCGUAAGAAUAAGCACCGGCUAACUACGUGCCAGCAGCCGCGGUAAUACGUAGGGUGCGAGCGUUAAUCGGAAUUACUGGGCGUAAAGCGUGCGCAGGCGGUUAUAUAAGACAGAUGUGAAAUCCCCGGGCUCAACCUGGGACCUGCAUUUGUGACUGUAUAGCUAGAGUACGGUAGAGGGGGAUGGAAUUCCGCGUGUAGCAGUGAAAUGCGUAGAUAUGCGGAGGAACACCGAUGGCGAAGGCAAUCCCCUGGACCUGUACUGACGCUCAUGCACGAAAGCGUGGGGAGCAAACAGGAUUAGAUACCCUGGUGGUCCACGCCCUAAACGAUGUCAACUGGUUGUUGGGUCUUCACUGACUCAGUAACGAAGCUAACGCGUGAAGUUGACCGCCUGGGGAGUACGGCCGCAAGGUUGAAACUCGAAAGGAAUUGACGGCGNGAGACGAGACGACGGACGACACGAGGGAGGAGG